rnacentral:lncRNA from 1 species
AUCUUAGGGAGCUACCAUUUGAUUUUUAUGGGGGGGCUAGGAUGAAAUUUGAAAAAAAUAGGCAGGACAGGAGUUUUGAUAUAAAAAAAAAAGGCAGGAUGAGACACUUGGUAAAAAAAAAAGGCAGGAUGACAAUUUGUGUAAAAAAAGUCAGGAUAACUAGUAAAAAAAAAAGGCAGGACCGAAUAGAGUAAAAAUAAAAAGCAGACAGAGAUUACAACUAAAAAAAAAAGCAGGACAAAAUUUUUCAUCCUAGCCCCCCCAUAAAAAUCAAAUGGUAGCUCCCUUAU